rnacentral:rRNA from 1 species
AUACAGGGGGUGCAAGCGUUAAUCGGAAUUACUGGGCGUAAAGGGUCCGUAGGCGGAUAGUUUAGUCGGGUGUGAAAUCCUUGGGCUCAACCUGAGAAUGGCACUCGAUACUGGCUAUCUAGAGUAUGCAAGAGGACAGGGGAAUUCCUGGUGUAGCAGUGAAAUGCGUAGAUAUCAGGAGGAACAUCAAUGGCGAAGGCACCUUUCUGGGGCAAUACUGACGCUGAGGGACGAAAGCGUGGGGAGCAAACAGGAUUAGAUACCCUGGUAGUCCACGCCCUAAACGAUGUCAACUAACUGUUCGGAGUCUUUAAGAUUCUGAGUAGUGCAGCUAACGCGAUAAGUUGACCGCCUGGGGAGUACGGCCGCAAGGUUGAA